rnacentral:rRNA from 1 species
UACGUAGGUGGCAAGCGUUAUCCGGAUUUACUGGGUGUAAAGGGAGCGUAGACGGUAUGGCAAGUCUGAAGUGAAAGCCCAGGGCUUAACCCUGGGACUGCUUUGGAAACUGUUAGACUAGAGUGCUGGAGAGGUAAGUGGAAUUCCUAGUGUAGCGGUGAAAUGCGUAGAUAUUAGGAGGAACACCAGUGGCGAAGGCGGCUUACUGGACAGUAACUGACGUUGAGGCUCGAAAGCGUGGGGAGCAAACAGG